UGUGAACUCGAAGAGUAGGGCGGGACACGUGGUAUCCUGUCUGAAUAUGGGGGGACCAUCCUCCAAGGCUAAAUACUCCUGACUGACCGAUAGUGAACCAGUACCGUGAGGGAAAGGCGAAAAGAACCCCGGCGAGGGGAGUGAAAAAGAACCUGAAACCGUGUACGUACAAGCAGUGGGAGCACCUUCGGGUGUGACUGCGUACCUUUUGUAUAAUGGGUCAGCGACUUAUAUUCUGUAGCAAGGUUAACCGUAUAGGGGAGCCGCAGGGAAACCGAGUCUUAACUGGGCGUUAAGUUGCAGGGUAUAGACCCGAAACCCGGUGAUCUAGCCAUGGGCAGGUUGAAGGUUGGGUAACACUAACUGGAGGACCGAACCGACUAAUGUUGAAAAAUUAGCGGAUGACUUGUGGCUGGGGGUGAAAGGCCAAUCAAACCGGGAGAUAGCUGGUUCUCCCCGAAAGCUAUUUAGGUAGCGCCUCGUGAAUUCAUCUUCGGGGGUAGAGCACUGUUUCGGCUAGGGGGUCAUCCCGACUUACCAACCCGAUGCAAACUACGAAUACCGAAGAAUGUUAUCACGGGAGACACACGGCGGGUGCUAACGUCCGUCGUGAAGAGGGAAACAACCCAGACCGCCAGCUAAGGUCCCAAAGUCAUGGUUAAGUGGGAAACGAUGUGGGAAGGCACAGACAGCCAGGAUGUUGGCUUAGAAGCAGCCAUCAUUUAAAGAAAGCGUAAUAGCUCACUGGUCGAGUCGGCCUGCGCGGAAGAUGUAACGGGGCUAAACCAUGCACCGAAGCUGCGGCAGCGACACUAUGUGUUGUUGGGUAGGGGAGCGUUCUGUAAGCCUGCGAAGGUGACCUGUGAGGGUUGCUGGAGGUAUCAGAAGUGCGAAUGCUGACAUAAGUAACGAUAAAGCGGGUGAAAAGCCCGCUCGCCGGAAGACCAAGGGUUCCUGUCCAACGUUAAUCGGGGCAGGGUGAGUCGACCCCUAAGGCGAGGCCGAAAGGCGUAGUCGAUGGGAAACAGGUUAAUAUUCCUGUACUUGGUGUUACUGCGAAGGGGGGACGGAGAAGGCUAUGUUAGCCGGGCGACGGUUGUCCCGGUUUAAGCAUGUAGGCUGGUUGUCCAGGCAAAUCCGGAUAAUCAAGGCUGAGGUGUGAUGACGAGGCACUACGGUGCUGAAGUAACAAAUGCCCUGCUUCCAGGAAAAGCCUCUAAGCAUCAGGUAACAUCAAAUCGUACCCCAAACCGACACAGGUGGUCAGGUAGAGAAUACCAAGGCGCUUGAGAGAACUCGGGUGAAGGAACUAGGCAAAAUGGUGCCGUAACUUCGGGAGAAGGCACGCUGGUGUGUAGGUGAAGUCCCUGCGGAUGGAGCUGAGACCAGUCGAAGAUACCAGCUGGCUGCAACUGUUUAUUAAAAACACAGCACUGUGCAAACACGAAAGUGGACGUAUACGGUGUGACGCCUGCCCGGUGCCGGAAGGUUAAUUGAUGGGGUUAUCCGUAAGGAGAAGCUCUUGAUCGAAGCCCCGGUAAACGGCGGCCGUAACUAUAACGGUCCUAAGGUAGCGAAAUUCCUUGUCGGGUAAGUUCCGACCUGCACGAAUGGCGUAAUGAUGGCCAGGCUGUCUCCACCCGAGACUCAGUGAAAUUGAACUCGCUGUGAAGAUGCAGUGUACCCGCGGCAAGACGGAAAGACCCCGUGAACCUUUACUAUAGCUUGACACUGAACAUUGAGCCUUGAUGUGUAGGAUAGGUGGGAGGCUUUGAAGCGUGGACGCCAGUCUGCGUGGAGCCAACCUUGAAAUACCACCCUUUAAUGUUUGAUGUUCUAACGUUGGCCCCU
rnacentral:rRNA from 1 species